GACGAACGCUGGCGGCGUGCUUAACACAUGCAAGUCGAGCGGAGCGGCGAACGGGUGAGUAACGCGUCAGUAACUGCCCCCCUCUCUGGGAUAACAGUUGGAAACGGCUUCUAAUCCCCGAUAGUGGGGGAUGACUCGGGUCCUAUCAGCUUGUUGGUGGGGUAGUGGCCUACCAAGGCGACGACGGGUAGCCGGCCUGAGAGGGCGACCGGCCACAUUGGGCUGAGUAACGGCCCAAACGCCUACAGGAGGCAGCAGUGGGGAAUAUUGCCGAAUGGGGUAGACCGUGAUGCAGAAACGCCGCGUGCGGGAUGACGGCAUGGGGGUUGUAAAGCGCUUUCAGCCAUGACGCGGUAGUGGCAGAAGAAGCACCGGCUAACUACGUGCCAGCAGCCGCGGUAAUUC
rnacentral:rRNA from 1 species